CCUGGAUCAAGGACUGAACCCACAUCUUCUGCAUUGGCAGGUUUGUCCUGCCCUGGUUACUGAACUGGACUCUGGUCAGCUCACCCUCCAUGCAAUAAGUCUACCUACACUAGGUUGUAGCGAAGGAAAGCAGAGGGACAGCCUGCUGAUUCAAUGGCAUUUCACAGAUCCACAGGACACUCUUCCCAAAGUCACUGGAAGAACUGCAACCUCUGGCCACAGAUGUCUGUGAAUAUCUAGAACACGACAUGUGACAAUCACUGUUGGCCAAUCACUCCAGAGGGCUUUGUGCAGGUUUAUCUCCAAGAACUUGUGGAUGUUCAUGGCUCAGUUCAGCCAAGUUGAUGAUAAAAGUUAGAAAAAGAAUGUCUGAAGGGCAGACUG